rnacentral:lncRNA from 1 species
CAAAAUAAAAUAGUAGCCCAAUGUGCAGUAUACAUACUAUAUACAAUGAUGAUACAAUGGAAAUACAACAAUUGUCAAUGUAUGUGUUUCGGCUUAGAAGCUAAGUAGUCUUUUCAGGUGUCUACAUGAAUCAGUUGGAAAGGUCUAUAGGUACUGAUUGAACUGUCAGGAAAAGAAAGUCUAGUUUGCCUAGCCAUGGGACAAACAGAACAGGGAAAUGGUUGUUUGGAAGCAAAAGGAAAAGACAAGGCAGAAAUGUGUUUCAUGCUUGCAAAUGGAAUGUGAGUCAGUUUUAAAUGGAAAAUGUAAUUCAUGUCAUUUGCAUCAGUUUUAUUAUUACAAAUGAAACUAUUUACAUUGGAAUUCAAAGCAACAGAAUUAAGGUCAUAGAAAAUCCUAGCUUGCAGAGAAAACACUAGCUUCGUUCAGAGAAAACCCUUGCUUUUAGAGAAACCGGCGGAAUCAAGCACGAGAGGUGUCGGAAGUUCACCCUAAACACCACGCUUGAAGAAGCAACAUCAAUCCACAAGAAACUGAAAUCAUCUCCGAUUCUCAAAAAAAUCCAGAAUCACCCCCAACAAAUCGAAAAAUCUAGAAAUUACCACCGAGAACUUUGAAAUCAUCUCCGAUUCUCAAAAAAAAUCCGGAAUCACCCCCAACAAAUCGAAAAUUCAAAAAUUACCACCGAUAAGUCAAUAAGGUUGAACCGGAAGAACCGAGAAGAGAAAAAAUACAUCCGAGAAGAAGAAUCAUGCUCUGAUACCAUGUGAACAUGGAGAAUUGAAGAUGAAGAAGAAGAAUAAGAAGAGAGAGAGAGAGAGAGAGAGAGAGAGAGAGAGAGAGAGAGAGAGAGAGAGAGAGAGAAUAAUCUCUUUUCUGAAUUGAAGAAAAUGAACAAAAUGAAUUAAUUGUCUUUC